rnacentral:lncRNA from 1 species
GUGAGCUAAAAGGACGCUUUUGUCAGAGUGGGGAAAUAAAAGGGCUUUAUGGGAAGGAAGAUAAGAACAGAUGAGUCAGAGGUUUCUGCUUAAUGGUGGUACAGCCAAGCAGACAGGCAAGUGGCCAUACUGCUGCUGCCUCAUGUGGGAUUCGGCAGGCUGGUGGGUUAUCAGUCCUCACGUGGGACCCUCCCACCAUGGCAGCUGAGCGCAUCCAAGCUGGGGGAUCCUGAAGAGACCUUCACCUGGGUGCCAUGUGGAAGAUUGGUCAGCACCAUUUUGACUCCUGUGGAUGGGAAACCCUGGAACAGUGUCUAUAAGUUAUGAAAAACAGAGCAAUUGAAAUGGAAUCUCACUUGGGACCCCAGUCACUGCUCCAGACUGACCAGUCAGUGGACAAGGCUUCUCGCAUUGCUCACCAGCACCCAAACUGCACCUGGUCACCUGUCUACAUUCAGAUUUGGAUGAAACCCACACCAUGGAGGCAGCCAGAAGCCCAUGGGAGAUGUCUGGAUGCACAGAGGAAUAGCUCCAUGUGAUGCAAACCUUGACUAAUGGGAACAGGAAAAGGGAGGAAACCAGGAAGAUAAAUUUGCCUCCCUUCUCAUUG